GAUGAAGAACGCAGCGAAAUGCGAUAAGUAAUGCGAAUUGCAGAAUUCAGUGAGUCAUCGAAUCUUUGAACGCACAUUGCGCCCUGUGGUAUUCCGCAGGGCAUGCCUGUUCGAGCGUCAUUUCAACCCUCAAGCUCUGCUUGGUGUUGGGCCCUGCCCGCUGCGGCCGGCCCUAAAGACAGUGGCGGUGCCGCCUGGCCCUGAGCGUAGUACACCUCUCGCUCCAGUGCCCGGUGGUAGCCUGCCAGAACCCCAACUCUCGUGGUUGACCUCGGAUCAGGUAGGGAUACCCGCUGAACUUAAGCAUAUCAAUAAGCGGAGGA
rnacentral:misc_RNA from 1 species